AAUAGAUAAAAAUCUCAAUAUAAAUACCAAAUCCGACGCCACAGAAACCCAAUUAGGUAAACAGGGCUUUUGCUCGUCGUCGAAAAAAUGAAAACUCUAUUAAUCUGCGUUGCCUUGAUUGCGUGUGUAUGCGUCGCUUCCGCUGCGCCCGGACCGCUUCCCGUGCCGUACGCUAUGUACCCGUACCGGUACGCAAGGUACGCAGCAGUGGGAGCGGGGCGAGCCCGAGCGUACCGGCACGCCGAAACCGAUUGGUUUGGAUUGGUUCCCGCUUCCAUUGCCGCUUCAUUCCUCCCGGUUGCCGCCGUACCUUUGGUUCCAUUAAUGUUUUUGGAAUCACUACUAAGUAAAAAAUAAAUUUCCUUUAAAAAUUGUUACAUAGUUUUUUAUUUAUCUGCAACUAGCAGACGCCCGCGACUUCGUCCGCGUGGAAUUUAGUUUUUCACAAAUCCCUCGGGAACCAUGAAUUUUUCCGGGAUAAAAAGUAGCCUAUGCGUUAAUCCGUGCUAUAAUAUAUCUCAAUACCAAAUUUCAGCUAAUUCGGUUCAAUAGUCGAGGCGUGAAAGAGUAACAAACAUUCAUAUCAUUAAAAUCAUCAGUUUUCGCAAAUCUCGGGAAACCAUGGAUUUUUUCGGGAUAAAAAGUAGCCUAUGUGUUAAUCCAGAGUAAAAUCAGUUUCCAUUCGAAAUUUUAGCCAAAUCGCUUUAGUAGUAGCGGCGUUAAAGAGUAACAAACAUCCAAACAUCCAUACAAUCUUCCGCGUUUAUAAUAUUAGUAGUAUUUAUCGCUCGCCCGCGUUCAUGUGUAAGUUGUUAAGUGAUGAUACAGUCUUAGAUAGUAUCAUGCUGAAUUGGAAGAAGUGGGGUUUAUUUGUGUACUCCAGCUCCUCACUGAUUACACGACAUCGUACCAGAACACUGAAUCGUCUAGCAGUACAUCUUAUCGGUAAAGCAGUCUAAUUUUAAUUCUUUUUUAACUACCCCUGAACACAAAUAAAGACAUACAAAAUAAGUAGUUAUAUAGGUAUAUAAUAAUAUUGUAGAUUGUACGAAGUACGAAAUAUAACACUAGUUGUAUUUAACAACAAUCGCUGAAGUCGUGGGUUUAUUAUUAUUAUCAAACAAUAACAAUAUACAUCCCUGACAGUUGUGUGAAUUUUAAGAAAUUAAAUAUCACGUGUCCCAAACGGCGAAGGAAAAACAUCGUGAGGAAACCUGCACACCUUAGAAUUUUCUUAAUGUUUUACGUGUGUAAAGUCUGCUAAUCCGCAUUGGGCCAACGUGGUUGACUAAGGCCUAACCCCUAAGUGCUUGUAUGAUGUACCAAAACUUUCAAUUUGCAUGUUUCAAAGACAGAAUGUAGGUACCAGUUGAUUGUGUUACUGUGAUCGGAUUAGGUACUUUUAAACUACAUGAUUAUCUAGGUAGUAAUGUUUAUCAUCAUUCUAAUUAUUUAAACUAUUUUGUGAAUCAAAAACCAAUUAACUGAUAUAUUAAAUUUAGGGUUGACAUUUUAUUAUUUUAAACACAUUUUAUUAUUUUUAAUUAUAAAGUAUAUAAUAAUAAUAAAGUUUUUAACUGAAUUAAAAUUAGUAUGUGUUUUGGUCCGAGCAUAUGUCAAAAACUUCAAGUCGGAUUUUAAAAUUUUCAAGUGGACUAUGCUCUUAACAUAGGGGAUAGUGCAAAAUUCAUAAAAAUCAUUUCAGUACAUUUUAAGACAUAAAGUUAAGUAUGUUACAAGUUUCUGAAGUUGGUUAAUUUUAUCAAAUUACCUUUUAUUUGUUAUCGCCGCGUUGCAACGACUUGCGGUACGGACGGCUUCAGUGUGCUCUUGGCGUUCGAGCCGUCCACAUGUUUUGUUGUGUAAUUCUUUAUGGGUUACUUGGAAUAGGCGGGAAGAGUGACUUGAGUGGAGUGUUUGUUAACAGUCAAAGGCGCCUUUAACCCUACACACAAAGACCCUACGGCAAAGAUAGUGAAUACAAACAACAAAAAUCACCAAGAAUUUUUCGAGAAAUUCGGUUAUAGAAAUACUUGCUGACGCCGCGCGGUUUUACCCGCGUGGUUCUCGUUCCCGUAGGAAUACGGGGAUAAUAUAUAGCCUAUAGACUUCCUCGAUAAAUGGGCUAUCUAACACUGAAUGAAUUUUUCAAAUCGGACCUGUAGUUCCUGAGAUAAGCGCGUUCAAGCAAACAAACAAACUCUUCAGCUUUAUAAUAUUAGUAAGGUGGGCAAAAGGUUGAGAACAUAUAUUCAAACGCAGGACCGAUUUAAGUGCUGUUACCUAAUCUAGAGGAACUCUACGAUAACUCUACAAGUUACGACAAUCUUUAUUAUCUUAACGAAAUAAAACAACGUAGCAUAUUCACUCACAUCUUAACAAAACCAAGUGACCAAACGAAAAGCUUAUCAACCAUUUAAAAUGCAAUUAAAGUCAUCAAAAAGUAAUUAAUUAAUAUUGAUAACAAGAUAUAUUGUGUGUAUAAAUAAUUUUUGUGCUCUGAAGUCAUCCAUUCGACCCUUUUGAUUGCCACAAUGAAUAUCCUGCUGCUCUGCUUAGCCCUGAUCGCCUGCGCGUUCGCAGCGUUCGCGACACCUGACUUUCAGUACGCGUCGUAUCCGGGCCAGAUCAUCAUAGGAAAGGACUACCCCUUGGACUUUGGGAGACACGCCAGCUCUUUAUGGGACAUAUUUUUAGAUAGACUAAAUUAAUAAAAAGUUUUCUUUAAUAAA